rnacentral:rRNA from 1 species
GACGAACGCUGGCGGCGUGGAUUAGGCAUGCAAGUCGAACGGUAUCAUCCUUUCGGGGGUGAGAGAGUGGCGAACUGGUGAGUAACACGUAGGUUAUCUACCCUCAAGACGGGGACAACCCAGGGAAACUUGGGCUAAUACCGGAUGUGAGCAACUUUUAGUUGUUUGAAAGGUGGCGUAAGCUGUCGCUUGGGGAUGAGCCUGCGUCCUAUUAGUUAGUUGGUGAGGUAACGGCUUACCAAGGCGAUGAUAGGUAGGCGGCCUUAACGGGUGGUCGCCCACACUGGGAUUGAGAUACGGCCCAGACUCCUACGGGAGGCAGCAGUCGAGAAUAGUCUACAAUGGACGGAAGUCUGAUAGUGCGACGCCGCGUGAACGAAGAAUCCCUUCGGGUGUAAAGUUCUUUUAUACGUGAGCAGUGUCCUUUAUAUUAAUAGUAUAAGGGGAGAGAUAUUAGCGUAUGAAUAAGCAACGGCUAACUCCGUG